rnacentral:rRNA from 1 species
AAUGAACGCUGGCGGCGCGCCUAAUACAUGCAAGUCGAGCGAGAAGACGUAGCAAUACGUUUGUAAAGCGGCGAACGGGUGUGGAAUACAUGGGUAACCUACCCUAGAGUGGGGAAUAACUAGCCGAAAGGUUAGCUAAUACCGCGUACGCUCCUUGGACUUCGGUUCAGGGAGGAAAGCGAUGCCGAGGGUAUCGCGCUCUUGGAUGGGCUCAUGUCCCAUCAGCUUGNGGUGAGGUAACGGCUCACCAAGGCUUCGACGGGUAGCUGGUCUGAGAGGACGAUCAGCCACACUGGCACUGCGACACGGGCCAGACUCCUACGGGAGGCAGCAGUAAGGAAUAUUGCGCAAUGGGGCGAAAAGCCUGACGCAGCGACGCCGCGUGGGGGGA